rnacentral:rRNA from 1 species
GUCGAGCGGAGAGUAAUGGGAGAUUCUUCGGAUGAUGUUAUUAUCUUAGCGGCGGAUGGGUGAGGUAACACGUGGGUAACCUGCCCUGCACAGGGGGAUAACAGCUGGAAACGGCUGUUAAUACCGCAGUAUGCACACGCUGCCGCAUGGCAGGGGGUGGAAAAAUUUAUCGGUGCAGGAUGGGCCCGCGUCGGAUUAACUAGUUGGCAGGGUAACGGCCUACCAAGGUGAUGAUCCGUAGCCGACCUGAGAGGGUGACCGGCCACAUUGGGACUGAGACACGGCCCAAACUCCUACGGGAGGCAGCAGUGGGGGAUAUUGCACAAUGGGCGCAAGCCUGAAUGCAGCGACGCCGCGUGAAGGAAGAAGUAUUUCGGUAUGUAAACUUCUAUCAGCGGGGAAGAAGAUGACGGUACCCGACUAAGAAGCCCCGGCUAACUACGUGCCAGCAGCAGC